rnacentral:rRNA from 1 species
UACGAAGGGGGCUAGCGUUGCUCGGAAUCACUGGGCGUAAAGCGCACGUAGGCCGAUUGUUAAGUCAGGGGUGAAAUCCUGGAGCUCAACUCCAGAACUGCCCUUGAUACUGACGGUCUCGAGUCCGAGAGAGGUGAGUGGAGCUGCGAGUGUAGAGGUGAAAUUCGUAGAUAUUAGGAAGAACACCAGUGGCGAAGGCGGCUCACUGGUCCGGUACUGACGCUGAGGUGCGAAAGCGUGGGGAGCAACAGGG